ensembl:lncRNA
AGCGGCUACAAAAUAACUUAAACAGACCGACAACCAACACAGGACAUACAAAGAAGGAUACAAAGGAACACUGGCUUUUCAAGCUGCAGAAGGAGUUGGUAAUUGAAGAUCCAGCUGUUUCCCCUGACGAGAGGGUGGAGUCAGAGCUCCAAUCAGCGAUGGGACCGACCAAUCAGCUGCUCCAGGAUUCCAUUUCCUGAAAUACACACAGACAUACAAACCCACAACACAGAAACUGGGGAACGUAACAGCAUGGAUGGGUGUAUGGAUGGAUGGAUGGAAGGAAGGAUAGACAGAAGGAUGGAUGGGUAUAUGGAUGGGCGGAUGGAUGGUUAGAUGGAUAGAUUGAUCAUUGGAUGUGACAGUCAUCAGACAGGAUGUAAACUGCUCUUUAGGACAAGUCAAUAAUCAGAGAGGCUGUUGAUAGUUUAACAGUGUAUCAUGUUAUUACAGUGCCUUUGGAAUGUAUUCAGACCCCUUGACUUUUUCAAAUCAAUUCAAAUCAAACUUUAUUUGUCACAUGUGCCGAAUACAAUAAGUGUAGACUUUAUCAUGAAAUGCUGACUUACCAACAGUGCAGUUCAAGAAGAAGAAAAUAUUUACCAAGUAGACUACAAUAAAAAAGUAUGAAUAAAAAGUAACACAGUAAGAAUAACGAGGCUAUAUACAGGGGGCACCCGUAUCGAGUCAGUGUGCUGGGGUACAGGCUAGUUGAAGUAAUCUGUACAUGUAGGUGGGGGUGAAGUGACUAUGCAUAGGUAACAAACAAACAGCGAGUAGCAGCAGUGUAAGGGGGGGUCAAUGUAAUGCACUUCACAUUAGAUGGCUGUAACUAUAAGAGGCCUCUGCACUUCACAUGAGAUGGCUGUAACUAUAAGAGGCCUCUCUGCACUUCACAUGAGAUGGCUGUAACUAUAAGAGGCCUCUCUGCACUUCACAUGAGAUGGCUGUAACUAUAAGAGGCCUCUCUGCACUUCACAUGAGAUGGCUGUAACUAUAAGAAGCAUCUCUGCACUGCAAUUUUAUGAAUUGCUCAGAAGUCUUAUGGCUUGGAGGUAGAAGCUGUUGAGGAGCCUUUUGGUCCUAGACUUGGCCCUCCAGUACCACUUGCCGUGCGGUAGCAGAGAAAACGGUCUAUAACUUGGGAGUCUCUGACAAUCUUAUGGGCUUUCCUCUGACACCCCCUGUUAUAUAGGGGACUAAGUACACACCCCUGAGGGGCCCAGUGUUAAGGAUCAGCAUGGCAGACGUGUUGUUGCCUAUUCUUACCACAUGGGGGCGGCCUGUCAGGAAGUCCAGGAUCCAGUUGCAGAGGGAGGUGAGUUGUUUUUUGGGUAUCUGUACUUUACUAUUUAUAUUUUUGACUACUUUUACUUCACUACAUUCCUAAAGAAAAUAAUAUACUUUUUACUCCAUACAUUUCCCCUAACACCCAAAAGUACUCGUUACAUUUUGAAUGCU